CGUAUUAUCUGUCCUACCACUCAUCAUCAGUAUUAUGAAAGCGUCAUGUCACAAUUAUGUUUUAUCGUUGUGUUUCUCUUCAGUUCAUGUAACAGCACGGGUCGGUGAAGAAGUGAUGUUUGAUGAUCUGCCGCGUGAUGCUGAGAGCGUUGAGUGUUUAACAAACACCGGCUCGAUAGAUGUGUGGAGGAGAGAGCAGGGUGUCCUGACUGAUCGACUGACUGACAAUGAUGGUCACCUGAUCAUUAAAAACUUCAGAUCAAGUGACGCUGGAACAUACAGAGUCCUGGACUCAACAGGAGGAGUCCUGGUCACCGUGACGCUCACAGAAUGGGGUACAGAAUCAAAGGACAAACAGGACAGCACACGUGAUGACAAAACUGAAGAUGUUUGUAUUGCGGUGCUGGUUCUGGUGGCUCUGAUUGCGUUUACUGUCUUCAUGAUCCAUCGAUGUCUGAACAGGAACAAGGAACAAGGAACAAGGAACAAGGGAUCCCAAUGCAAGAAACUACACAGGGGCCCAGAUCACCAAACAACAGCAGUGGUCACUUGGUGCCUGAUGUUUUUCCUGCUGCUUGACCUGCCUGGUGCUUCUUCUCUAACAGUGACGGGACAAAAGGGCGGCAAUAUUACCCUGCGGUGUAAUUCCAGCAACAGAGAGGAAUUAUACAUGGUUCUGACUUUUGGGUCCAAAACUGCUUAUGGUACUGGUCAGAGUAAAUAUUAUGAGCACCGUGUGCACAAGAGUGGCAACUGUGAGCUCAUUCUGCAAGACUUGAAGACCACUGAUGCUGGAAAAUAUAACUUUAAAGUUUAUGCCAGCGGUCAACUACUAGGAAGCUACAUUUUUGACAUCUGUGUUAAUGUUAAUUUAACAGCACGGGUCGGUGAAGAAGUGAUGUUUGAUGAUCUGCCGCGUGAUGCUGAGAGCGUUGAGUGUUUAACAAACACCGGCUCGAUAGAUGUGUGGAGGAGAGAGCAGGGUGUCCUGACUGAUCGACUGACUGACAAUGAUGGUCACCUGAUCAUUAAAAACUUCAGAUCAAGUGACGCUGGAACAUACAGAGUCCUGGACUCAACAGGAGGAGUCCUGGUCACCGUGACGCUCACAGAAUGGGGUACAGAAUCAAAGGACAAACAGGACAGCACACGUGAUGACAAAACUGAAAGCACUAAAAGAGUUUGUAAGUAAAACAGGAGACAUUGA
ensembl:lncRNA